UGAAUCCACUGAUUAUUCCCAUUUUUUUUUGUUACAACUUUCGUAAUGUUUCGCCUUAUAUUUCUUUUUGCAUUAUUUCUGUUGAUUUCAUUAUUCGUUGUUUAUUCUUCACGUUUUUCGUUCUCUUGCUUCAGUUUUAAAUUUUUCUGUGGUCUUGCUUCUGGCUCUUCUUUGAGGCGAUGAUGAUAAAUAAGGAGAACUGUGAAUGAUGGCAAUUGCUCAUGUGCUUAGAUGCUUAGAUGCUACAAAGAGGAAAAAAAAGAGAUUUGGAUCACCCGAUACCUCGGCAACUAUCUCUUAAGUUUUGAUGUAUAACCUUUUAAGAGAAAAAGAUAUUUGGAUGGCCUAAUCCCUCGGCAACCAUCUCUAAUGUUUUUAUCUCUUGCCUAAGCUACUAAUCUUGGUUGAAUUGUUACAUUCCCUAAGCCUCUAUUUUCCUAUUUUAAUGUCUCCGAUUUUUCCCUAUUUUCCUAUUUUAAAGUCCUUGGGAUUUCGCUGGUUUUGUGUUUUUUUAAAGUCCUCAGGAUUCCUAUAGCUGCAUUUUUUGUCGUUAGUUUGUCAAAGCUAUGUUUUUUGGCUUACUUUUACAUACAUUUGUUUCUUUUUUGGGUGAGGGCGAGGGGGGCGGGGAAGUCCUUCGAAUACUUAGUUGUUUUACAUUAUUUUUUUGAGGUUUUGUGCAGGUUAGACUCUAUCCUUUCGCCUUUACUUCAACAUGGUUUUCACAAAAGAAAGAAAAAAAAAAAAAGAAUCCGUAGGUCCCUUUUUCGUUUCUGCAUGUUUCGUAUGCCUUCUGGCUGGCUGUUGGUUUUGCCUUUUUGGGGUACUUUGCCUUGACCUGUUUUUGUGCAUGCUAUGAUGACUACCUCUUGAAUGCCAUCAGAAUUUAAGCCAUCUAUUUUCCGAGGCUUUGCCUUUCCCUUUUUUCUUCCACGCUAUGCUGAUUAUACCCUUGAAUGUUAAAUGGUUGCGAUAAUUGAGAGGGGCCUAGGCUUUCUUGAUUAGUUAUGAGAGGACUUUGGAUGGCUUGCUUCGCAGGCAACCGGCAGUUCUCAUUUGUGCUAAGAAUAAUUGUGGUGCUGUAACACCCCACACUCUUAACUUCUUGUUUUAACUCCUAUUCUUUUAAAACUCGGACCUUUUCGUAAAUAUUAGUUUUUGAGGAACUCGGCGGCAUUUUAUGCCAAUUAAUCACUAAUUCCUAAUUAUCUCCACCAUCCGUUUAACCUAGCCGCAACCUUCCUUAAUUCCUCCCUUAUUGCACCCGUACGGCUCCACCCUCCCUCACGCGUGCACGACGCCGUUGAUCAUCGUCAUCGUCGCCGUCAUCCGCGGCCGCCACCACAAUCCUCAUCCGUCGACAUUUUUUUGAUUCGUCGUCGACGACAUUUCAUCAUCAUUGUUUCUAUCUUUAAGAAGGUUCCGACGAUUGAAUUUUCGGCGCAUUCUCGACUGGAUAUUUUUAUCUAUCUUUGAGGUAUUCGUUAAGGUACUGAGACCGAUUCGCAGGGCGGGGCUGGGAGCGAGUGAACGUUAGAUGUAAUAAAGUUAGGAAUUAGUUGGUGGAGUUGGUCUCAUAUGUUGAUAAACUGAACAUUGAAUCCAUCAUGGAAAUAACUAAUUUUAUAUCCGGCAAUUGGCGACCAUUUUAUUGUACACAACCAUUUUAUUGUGUUGGAAAGGGGUAUGAGUUUUCUUCCCUGGCAAUCAGGUGAUCACUUUUUUCGUUCCAAUUCACAAUCUGUAUUUAGCACUAUUUUUUAUUAUUUGGUGGUUGCAACAGCUUUAGGUUUUGCAUGCACACUUAUGCAAAUUUCCUUCCUGUUUCAGGCCCAAAGUCUAGGUUGGGUGGUAUAUUUAAUCUUCCUAUAUCCUUAAUUAAUGGACAAUUCCAUUUCCAGUUAUCAAGAAUCGAGUCGGCCUUCUGCUGCUGAUUUGAGUAUUUCGUAUUUAUCACAACUCACGAUUCUUGGUGGCUCCAAAAGGUCCGGAUUUUAAUUCCUAGUUUUAUUUUGUGGCGCACUUUAUCUUCCACAUUUUUGUCAUACAGAGGGAGAGAGAGAUUUUAAAAUUUUAAUUUCCGAAUUUUAUAUUUUUAUAUUAAAAUUUUAAAUUUAACUAUUA